AGGACGAACGCUGGCGGCGUGCUUAACACAUGCAAGUCGAGCGGUAAGGCCUUUCGGGGUACACGAGCGGCGAACGGGUGAGUAACACGUGGGUGAUCUGCCCUGCACUUCGGGAUAAGCCUGGGAAACUGGGUCUAAUACCGGAUAUGACCUCCUAUCGCAUGGUGGGUGGUGGAAAGAUUUAUCGGUGCAGGAUGGGCCCGCGGCCUAUCAGCUUGUUGGUGGGGUAAUGGCCUACCAAGGCGACGACGGGUAGCCGACCUGAGAGGGUGACCGGCCACGACUGGGACUGAGACACGGCCCAGACUCCUACGGGAGGCAGCAGUGGGGAAUAUUGCACAAUGGGCGAAAGCCUGAUGCAGCGACGCCGCGUGAGGAUGACGGCCUUGGGUUGUAAACCGUCUUUCAGCAGGACGAAGCGACAAGUGACGGUACCUGCAGAAGAAGACACCCGACGUAACCUACGUCGCCAGACCAGACCCGC
rnacentral:rRNA from 1 species